rnacentral:rRNA from 1 species
UGUACGCAGUCUACGAGCGGCGAGGGAUGGGCCCGCGGUCCAUUAGCUAGUUGGUGGGGUAACGGCCUACCAAGGCGACGAUGGAUAGCUGGUCUGAGAGGAUGAUCAGCCACACUGGGACUGAGACACGGCCCAGACUCCUACGGGAGGCAGCAGUCGGGAAUCUUGCGCAAUGGGCGAAAGCCUGACGCAGCAACACCGUGUGGGCGACGAAGGCCUUCGGGUCGUAAAGCCCUGUUGUUGGGGACGAAGGGCGAAGGGUUAAUAGCCCCUAGCCUGACGGUACCCUUCGAGGAAGCCCCGCUCGUAGACUGCGUACC